UGCAGUCGAACGGCAGCACGGGUGCUUGCACCUGGUGGCGAGUGGCGAACGGGUGAGUAAUAUAUCGGAACGUACCCUAGAGUGGGGGAUAACGCAGCGAAAGUUGCGCUAAUACCGCAUACGAUCUACGGAUGAAAGUGGGGGAUCGCAAGACCUCAUGCUCAUGGAGCGGCCGAUAUCUGAUUAGCUAGUUGGUGGGGUAAAAGCCUACCAAGGCAUCGAUCAGUAGCUGGUCUGAGAGGACGACCAGCCACACUGGAACUGAGACACGGUCCAGACUCCUACGGGAGGCAGCAGUGGGGAAUUUUGGACAAUGGGCGCAAGCCUGAUCCAGCAAUGCCGCGUGAGUGAAGAAGGCCUUCGGGUUGUAAAGCUCUUUUGUCAGGGAAGAAACGGUGAGGGCUAAUAUCCUUUGCUAAUGACGGUACCUGAAGAAUAAGCACCGGCUAACUACGUGCCAGCAGCCGCGGUAAUACGUAGGGUGCAAGCGUUAAUCGGAAUUACUGGGCGUAAAGCGUGCGCAGGCGGUUAUGUAAGUCAGAUGUGAAAUCCCCGGGCUCAACCUGGGAAUGGCAUUUGAGACUGCAUGGCUAGAGUGUGUCAGAGGGGGGUAGAAUUCCACGUGUAGCAGUGAAAUGCGUAGAGAUGUGGAGGAAUACCGAUGGCGAAGGCAGCCCCCUGGGAUAACACUGACGCUCAUGCACGAAAGCGUGGGGAGCAAACAGGAUUAGAUACCCUGGUAGUCCACGCCCUAAACGAUGUCUACUAGUUGUCGGGACUUAAUUGUCUUGGUAACGCAGCUAACGCGUGAAGUAGACCGCCUGGGGAGUACGGUCGCAAGAUUAAAACUCAAAGGAAUUGACGGGGACCCGCACAAGCGGUGGAUGAUGUGGAUUAAUUCGAUGCAACGCGAAAAACCUUACCUACCCUUGACAUGUACGGAACCUCUGAGAGAUUAGAGGGUGCUCGAAAGAGAGCCGUAACACAGGUGCUGCAUGGCUGUCGUCAGCUCGUGUCGUGAGAUGUUGGGUUAAGUCCCGCAACGAGCGCAACCCUUGUCAUUAGUUGCUACGAAAGGGCACUCUAAUGAGACUGCCGGUGACAAACCGGAGGAAGGUGGGGAUGACGUCAAGUCCUCAUGGCCCUUAUGGGUAGGGCUUCACACGUCAUACAAUGGUACAUACAGAGGGCCGCCAACCCGCGAGGGGGAGCUAAUCCCAGAAAGUGUAUCGUAGUCCGGAUUGUAGUCUGCAACUCGACUACAUGAAGUUGGAAUCGCUAGUAAUCGCGGAUCAGCAUGUCGCGGUGAAUACGUUCCCGGGUCUUGUACACACCGCCCGUCACACCAUGGGAGCGGGUUUCACCAGAAGUAGGUAGCCUAACCGCAAGGAGGGCGCUUACCACGGUGGGAUUCGUGACUGGGGUGAAGUCGUA
rnacentral:rRNA from 1 species